CUCUAAGUCCUGAAGAGUGAAGCCCUCUUGCAAGCUUUUCCACGCACCCCCACCAAUGUGAUGCAACCCUGACCUAGAGGGACAACUUCUAGGGAUGAGAGAGCAGUUCAGUCUCCAGAGCCCAUUCAAUCCUUAACUACA
rnacentral:sRNA from 1 species